GGCAGUGAAAUUUCAGCAACUAAAACGAACUCAUGCUAUGCGUUAUACACCUAAAGUCAUUCAUGUCAUACUUAGCAUUGUUACUCGGAUAUAAUAGCUUGAAAACAUGCUUAAAAAAUCCAUAAACGACUUACAUAUCACAUUCAAAAACUUACAACUCAAUAUUCAAGUAUUAUGAAAGACUAUAUUCACAUUAUCACAUGCUUGAUACAUAACAAUAACAUACAAGCUCUUUUGUUGUCAAACUAUUCAUCACAUCAAACACAUUUAAAUGGUGCAGCAUGUUCAAGUCGUUCCCAUUGCUGAAAAUACGUACAUUACGAGUCUUAAAGGAUUACCUGGUAGCAAAAGAAUAAAUAGUAGUUCAGCAACUAAAGCAGCAUAAAACCAGCAGCAAAACAGCAGCAAAAUCAACAGCAAAUCCGUGUUAAAACAACCCGAAAACUUAGAGAGGGAACCCAAAAACGAACUCUAAAGAGGACUUAUACUUUUUUAAAAGUUUGCACUCUAAGAUUCACUCCCAAAGCUCACCAUUUCAGCUUACUUUUCAUGUGUUCAACUGCUGAAUUUUUUUUGUUUUUGUGACAAAGCAAUUAUAAAAAAUUCCUCCUGGAAGUGUGAUGGAGUCCCCCCAAAGUGAGGAAAUGGCAGCCCUUAAAUAGGUAAAUUAGGACAGAUUUUGGUUCACCAAAUGUCUGUCCGACAAAAACUGACAUUGUGUGCUAAACACUGUUCAAAAUCUGUCCAAAGGUCAAAGGAAAUCUACUAUGUCAGAAACAAAGAAAAAAAAAUAUCAUUUCAGCCACCUUAACUAGUAAAAGUAAGCUACUAGCACCCUAUUUUGUGAUAAAAUAACAUAAACUUCAGAUUUUAACAAUAUCAAUAUCACCCUGUUGAUUCAAACUAAACCAAGUAUUAAAACAUGUAAUUAAACUUCACAUAUGUAUUAUGAACCAAUCGUAAGCAAACAAAAAUUAAUUAUUAAAGCCAAACGAAAUGGACGCUAUCGCUGGAGCGAUUUAAUAAAACCAACUAGACAAACAUAAUCAAAAAUGGAUUAAAUGAAGAAACAAGAUAGAAACUAACUUUAACUAUUAAAAAAAUCAAAAAAAUAAUAAUGGGGCAGGAUUACGAUUUUACCAUAUACUCUCAAGCAUUUCCUCACUACCUCACUUUAAUCAACACAAAGUUAUUUUACUACUUCAACAAGUGCAAAAACAGAAAAUUUAACAUUCCAAAACUUCAAAAACUAAUGCUAAAAUAAUUAAUAAUAAAAAAUAAAAUCUGAAAAAUAAAAAUAAAAAUCAGCCAUGAAAAAGAAUAGGAUUUUACCAUUUUACAAUUCAAGUGGCCGAAAAAAUGGUGGUAUGCCAAAAGAAUGUGUUCGGGGAGGUCGCCGAAAUUUGGCCGGAUUUUGGUCACCGAAUUUUCAGGGUGAAAUUGGCAUCAAUAGCUAGGUCUUGAGGAGCUCUAUCCAUUGAUGUAGGUAUUGUGGGUGGUAGUGGUUGGAGCUUCAAUAAUUUGGGCAAAAAAGUGACGGGAAAGUUUCCUAGAUCUAAGAUUCAAGGAGUUUGAGGGAUUUUUGAAGGAUUUGGUUUGGAGAUAUGGAAAGAGGAAGUUGUGGAGAUUACAUGGUGUGAAUUUGGAGGUGUUUGGAGGUGGUCCGCCGGCGGCGGUGGGGCAGCGGCAGCAGCUUGGGGGGAGAGAGAAGAGAGAGUGAUGAGAGGGAAAGAAGAUAGAGGAAAUAAUGGGGAAAUUGGG
rnacentral:lncRNA from 1 species